GAUGUCUCUUGUGGACCUGUGGAGC
rnacentral:piRNA from 1 species